rnacentral:misc_RNA from 1 species
ACUCGAGACGGUAUCACUCAACUUAGUACAGAAACUGGCAACAAACCCAAGUUCCCAAAGCCGAGAAAAUGCCUCUCCCCCUACUCCAUUUAUUGACAAAAAAGCGAACACACAGCCAGCAGCACUGGAACCAAUCACACUGCCAGGCCCCCUUCUUCCCUUCCGCUUCUCAGCCACUCCCUGUGCUUCCUUUUGAGCCAUUUUAACCUUCGUAGCUGCGGUGCCUAUAACAAAGUAAGAAGCAACGAGAAGGAACCCAGAGGGCCCAAAAGCGCGCCAAGUGAGGGUACCCAAAAGAAACGCAGUGCAAAUACCAGAUAGAGAAAGCCCAGAUACCAGAAUAGGAGACCCAACAAUGAAUAUCAACAAGUUGCUGAGAAGAGAAGAUCGCCAAGUGGAGGGCGAAGACUGGAUCAAGUUCAUGGCCUCCGAUAGAGCUCCCUGCAUUGAGAAUGCUUGGGGUCUGCGGGGCGAAGGCAACAUAUUGGGAAAUCUAGGACGAGGGGUAGGAGUAGGAGUAGGUAGGGUUUUGACGAGAGGGAUUGAGGAUUUGAGGAAGUGAAGAUGAGCGAAGGAAGUGGUAUUGAUGUAAAGAAGAGCGGACAAGGCCAUUUUUAUGUAGUUUUAUCGGGUUUUCGGAACUUCUCAGCGAAGCUCAAGAGAAAAGGUUCGCGCGUGGCUGCUACCUACUC